rnacentral:lncRNA from 1 species
AGACAGAGUCUGGCUCUGUCACCCAGGCUGGCAUGCAGUGAUGCAAUCUUGGCUCACUGCAAUGGGAUUACAGGUGUGAGUCACCACACCUGGCCUAAAUUAGCAAAUAUUUUCAAAAAAGAAAGAAAGAAAACAUUGUCGUGUGUUGACUAACCACCAGGCCAUGAAGUACGCUUACUCAUAUGAUGGUACAGCCUGUCUGGGA